GGCUCGGUGGUGGACGGUCCACGCUCACAUGUAUUGGAUUGUCCGAAAUCAAUCAUGUGAGACACCCGUUCGAGUCCGGUCCGAGCCG